GUCUUUUUUUUUUAAACUAAAAUGGAGGCUGGUUUCUUGCCUUAAGGAGCCCAUUGCCUUUCCCGCUGAAGUCUAGAUGUUGACAUGUAAUAAAGCGGGCAGCAGGAUGGUGGUGGAUGCGGCCAACUCCAAUGGGCCUUUCCAGCCCGUGGCCCUUCUCCAUAUUCGAGAUGUUCCUCCUGCUGAUCAAGAGAAGCUUUUUAUCCAGAAGUUACGUCAGUGUUGCGUCCUCUUUGACUUUGUUUCUGAUCCACUAAGUGACCUAAAGUGGAAGGAAGUAAAACGAGCUGCUUUAAGUGAAAUGGUAGAAUAUAUCACCCAUAAUCGGAAUGUGAUCACAGAGCCUAUUUACCCAGAAGUAGUCCAUAUGUUUGCAGUUAACAUGUUUCGAACAUUACCACCUUCCUCCAAUCCUACGGGAGCGGAAUUUGACCCGGAGGAAGAUGAACCAACGUUAGAAGCAGCCUGGCCUCAUCUACAGGUAUCGGGCUCUGGGUGACCAGACUCGGAGGGCACCGGUGACACAUGGGAAUGGCCUGGGAUCCACAGAGCGGGCGCACUGGUCUGGCCAGAUGGACCUCUCCUCCUCAGUAGCAUGGGCCUCGCAAACCCAUGUGUACAAGAAAAAUAUUUCAGCAGAAUAAAGUUAAUGUGUGUGUUUGACCACUUUACAACAGCCAGUGAAGAUGUGUAAUUGUGAGUAUGUUCUCAGUGAAAAUGGCCGCUGUGUUGAUGGCCGUUGAAUUCAAGCCCAGAGGUCCUAAGCCAACAAUCUCCCAGUUUUUGCUCCUCAUAUUUAAUAUGUGCCUGCUGGGCCCCCAGGUCCUGCGCUGGCCACUGCCUUUCCCCAGGACAUUUGUAAGGCAGAAGGUUGGUUGGCAAGGAGGCGCCAGGGUCGGCAUGAGCAGAGCAGGAGCCAGGUGUGCGGGUGGGAGGGCCAUCCAUCCGUGACAGGCGGCCCACGCUGUCCCACCCAGCAUGUCUGCACAGGGAAAGAAUUGUCCCAGCUCCAGGAGGUCAUGGUUCAGGGUCCACAUCUUAGGGCCCUCUUACCUGGCAGCCCCAGAGUUCCUGGCAUUUGGUUGGCUCUGCGCCUUGGCAUUGUGGGACACUCCUAGGCGGCAGGCUGCAAAUCCCCCCUGCAGAGUUGGGUCAUGGCUUGGUUUGUGGCAUCUGUGCCCUGUAGUCCCUGAACAGUGUACUAUAACUGAUGACAUCAGC
rnacentral:sRNA from 1 species